rnacentral:rRNA from 1 species
CCUACGGGAGGCAGCAGUGGGGAAUAUUGGACAAUGGGCGCAAGCCUGAUCCAGCCAUUCCGCGUGAGUGAAGAAGGCCUUCGGGUUGUAAAGCUCUUUCGCAAGGGAAGAAAACUUACAUUCUAAUAAAGUGUGAGGCUGACGGUACCUUGAUAAGAAGCACCGGCUAACUACGUGCCAGCAGCCGCGGUAAU